AUUAUUUUUAGACUCCGAGCCUACUUUCCUAAGUCUUAUUAAAUUUGAGCAAAUCAUAAAGGAUUUUGAGAAAUCAAACCUCCUCUCGUAUUUAGAAAGGUGUCCUAUGCAAGCCAUC
rfam:Haemophilus ducreyi strain 35000HP complete genome.